rnacentral:lncRNA from 1 species
UAGGCAUUAGCAGAGCUGGGAUUCAAAUGAAGAUUAUCCAACUGGAGAAAUGAUUAUUUUUCACAUGUGAAUUUUAGUAUGUUCCCUCCCAACUUGGAAACAUCACUUUGGAGAAAUCAAAUGGAAUAGCCUUCAGAGUCCUGUCCAGUUGGAAGAGUAGAAGUGGAACUUUAGACUCCAAAUUCAGUAUUCAUUCAACUAUGCCAUAUUACCUACCUGUGGACACGAAAAUGACCUCUGGACUAGGAAGGAUAAAAAACAACUGUGGUUUCCAGGGAGUG